rnacentral:rRNA from 1 species
AGUGAACGCUGGCGGUAGGCCUAACACAUGCAAGUCGAACGGCAGCACAGUAAGAGCUUGCUCUUACGGGUGGCGAGUGGCGGACGGGUGAGGAAUACAUCGGAAUCUACUUUUUCGUGGGGGAUAACGUAGGGAAACUUACGCUAAUACCGCAUACGACCUACGGGUGAAAGCAGGGGAUCUUCGGACCUUGCGCGAUUGAAUGAGCCGAUGUCGGAUUAGCUAGUUGGCGGGGUAAAGGCCCACCAAGGCGACGAUCCGUAGCUGGUCUGAGAGGAUGAUCAGCCACACUGGAACUGAGACACGGGCCAGAAUCCCACGGGAGGCAGCAGGGGGGAAUAUUGGACAAUGGGCGCAAGCCUGAUCCAGCCAUACCGCGUGGGUGAAGAAGGCCUUCGGGUUGUAAAGCCCUUUUGUUGGGAAAGAAAAGCAGCAGGUUAAUACCCCGCUGUUCUGACGGUACCCAAAGAAUAAGCACCGGCGAACUUCGG